rnacentral:piRNA from 1 species
AAAUNGCAUGAGUGAUCUGUGUCUUAAGGA